rnacentral:lncRNA from 1 species
GGGCGGGCUUCCUCGAUCUCUCCGGGUCCUUUUCUUCGGGUCCGCCAUUCCUACUGUUCAGCUGCAGGAUCGUCUGUUACGUUUGGAGUCCCCUGUUGUGGGUGCUCCGCGGGUGCUGUGCGGGUGCUGAAGAUCCCUGGGUCGUAGGCUUGGUUUCUGAGCACGGGGAAAUGGUGAGUGUGGCGUGGCAUCCGGAGCCUGAGAGGGAGGCGGGCGGCGGGCGGCGGGCGGCAGGGGGAGGGGAAGCAGAGACUGUUGGAACCGUGGCUGUGGCGGGGNNNNNNNNNNNNNNNNNNNNNNNNNNNNNNNNNNNNNNNNNNNNNNNNNNNNNNNNNNNNNNNNNNNNNNNNNNNNNNNNNNNNNNNNNNNACCCCGAACAGCCCCCCCCCCCCCCCCCCAAGGGCACCCUCAGCUCCCGGUUCUAACCCUAUCUGGCCGCCUUGUGCCUGCAGCCAGUGUCUUCCCAGAUGGUGGUGGCUGACUGGGGGCACGAUUAUCUUCAUCCAGUCUCCACCUGCGGGUUUCCCGCGGGAGAGGAGGUGUAGGAUAUAGGGAACUCGCUUCUUCCUGAGCUAGCUCGUUUGCAUUUUUACUUCAUUUUUUUUUCUUUACUUUCCUUUUGUUUGUUACUGGACCAUUGACCGGAGGGAUACUUUAACCACUGAGCUACGUUUCUGGUACUUUUUAUUUAUUUAUUUAUUUUUUAGAAGUAGUCGGAAACAAUACCCUUAUUUUGUUUGUUUAUUUUUAUGUGGUGCUGAGGGUCGAACCCAGGGCCUUGCACUUGCUGGAGGAGCACUCUACCGCUGAGCCACAAUCCCACCCCCCGCCUUUUUUUUUAAUUAUUUGAGACAGAGUCUAGCUAAGUUUCUGAGACUGGCCUUGUUAUGGUUUGAUUUCUCUAGACUUCUCUAUCGCUAUUAAAUAUAUAAUUCUAACAUACCUGCAAAUGGAUUCGUGUGUGGAUUUUGUUUAUAUUGUUAUUCCUUGAUGAUUAACAUAAUGGUAUAGUUUCAUAAUAUGCAUGGAUGUCAAGUAAGGACUUCUCUCCGAAGCAUAUUUGGAGAUCUUUAUCAUUAAUUAGAUGGUGAAACAUUUCUAGGUCUCUGUAGCUCCUGUUUUGUUUAAUGGUCUCUGUUUAUGAUCCAGAAACACACUGUUUUUGCUAUUAUGGCUCUGUGGCAUAAAUUGAAGUCAGAUGUUUUGAGGUUUUCGGGUUUACAGUUUACAGAAUUGCUUGCUAUUCCAUAAGACUCUGAGGGUUUUUUUUUUUCUUCUAGUUAUGAGAAUAAUAAUAUUGUUAUUUUGAUCAAGAUUAUAUCCCAUCUGUAGGUGGCUUUAAGUAAUCUGAUGGCUUUUUUUCAGUCUAUAGAUGGCUUUAGUUUAUUUAGUUUAUUUAAUGUAGAUGGCUUUAGUUUAUCUGUAGAUGAUUUUAAUGUUUUCAGUGUUUUGUAAUUUUUCUCAUGGAAAUUUUUACUUUCUUUUGUUAGACUUAUUGCUAAGCAUUUUUAAGUUAUUUGCAAUAAAACAACUUUUUUGAUUUAUUUCUCAACAGAUUCAUUAUUGUGGGCAAAAGUUAUUGAUUUUCAUACNUUUGUUAGACUUAUUGCUAAGCAUUUUUAAGUUAUUUGCAAUAAAACAACUUUUGGAUUUAUUUCUCAACAGAUUCAUUAUUGUGGGCAAAAGUUAUUGAUUUUCAUACUGAUUUAUUUAUUCUGUAACUUUGAUGCAUUUGUUUAUCACCAGUAGGAAUCUUCUGGUGGAAACAUUAGGAUUUUCUAAGUUUAACCUUAUGUCAUCUGUAGACAUAUAAUUUGACUUCUUCCUUUCCUAUUUGUAUCCCUUUAAUUUUUGCGUCUUGCCUAAAGCUUCAGCUAAAUUUAUGUAUUUAUUGUACAGGAGUGGUGGGGGUGGGUGUCCUUUCUAUUUUUCAUCAUUUAAAGGCACUGCAUUCAGCUCUUCCCUAUUCAGUAGAAAGCUGGCAUUAGAUUUGUUAUGUAGCCUUUGAUGUUGAAGCAAUUUCCUUCUAUUCACAGUUUCUUCAGAUUAUAUAUCUGGAUGUGAUAUUGAAUUUUGUCAAAGGCUUUUUUUUUUUUUUUUUUUGCAUCUAUUGAGAUGAUCAUGUGAAUUUUAUAUUUGUAUUUAUGUGGUGUAUUAUAUGUAUAUUGAUUUGUGCUUGUUGCAGUCCUGCAAUAAAAACAAGUUUAUCAUGCUCUAUGAUCUUUGUAAUGUGCUAUUAAAUAUGAUUUGGUUUGCUAUCACAUUGAGGGGGUAUUCAUCUAAGUUCAUUAGUUAUAUUGGUUUGUCAUUUUCUUCCCUCAAGAAGUGUUCUUAUCUUGCUUUGGUUUUUGUUUGGUAGUACUGGGGAUUAAACCCAGUACCAUUCAACUCAUACAAUCCCAGUUCUUUUGAUUUUAUUUUGAGAUUAAGUGUUAAGUUUUGGAUGUGAGGUGUCCCCCAAAUGCUCACAUGCGAGACAAUGCAAGAAGGUUCAGAGAGGAAUUGAUUGGAUUGUGAAAGCCUUAACCCUAUCAGUGAAUUAAUUCUUGCAUGGGAUUAACUGAGUUGUCACUGGAGGUAAUAGUGCAUUGGGGUCAGGGCUUUGGGGUAUAUAUUUAUGUCUGGUAAGUGGAGUUUUUCUCUUUGUUUUCUCAUCACCAUGUGAGCUGUUUUCCUCUGUCACACUCUUUCUUUCCACCAAGAUGUUCUGCUUCACUUUGAGCCCUGAGGAAUGAAACUGGCUUUCUAUGGACUAAAACCUCUAAGACUGUGAGCCCUCAAAUAAACUCUUAAUCCUCUAUAAAUGUGCUCGUUCUUUUAGUCACAGUGGUGAAAUAGCUAACUAAAAUGCAAGGUCUUGCUAAGUUACUGAGGCUGGCUUUGAACUUGUGAUCUUCCUGGCUCAGCCUCCCAAAUUUUUGGGAUUAUAGGUAUGCAACACAGUUUGGGAUUAUAGGUAUGCAACACAGCUGGUCUCCUGCCUGGUUUUUAAAAUCAUGAUGAUACUGGCUUCAUAGAAUGAAUUGGGGAGUGUUUCUUAUUUUUCUAGUUCGAGGAGUAACUUGAGGAGCAUUGUGUUGAUUCCUCCUAAUGUUCUGGUAAAAGUUAGUAUUGAAGUCAUCUUGUCCAGGAGAUUCUGUGUUGAAAAGCUUGGUAUUAUUGCUUUAUUUGCAUUACUUUUUUUUUUUUUUUUGCGGGGGGGGGAUGUACUGGGGAUUGAACUCAGGGGCACUCGACCACUGAGCCAUAUCCCUAGCCCUAUUUUGUAUUUUAUUAGAGACAGAGUCUCACUGAGUUUCUUAGCGCCUUGCUAAAUUGCUGAGGCUGCCUUUGGAUUCAUGAUCCUUCUGCCUCUGCCCCCCUAGCUGCUGGGAUUACAGGCAUGUGCCACUGUGCCCAGCUGCAUUGAAUUUUAUUGUUAUUUUAUGUUUUCAAUAUGCAGUUUGUUAACUUUGGUAGGUCAUGCAUGCCUUGAAAUUUAACCAUUUCUUCCAGAUUUUCCAGUGUAUUAGAAUAUGAGUUUUCUAAAUAGUCCCUGAUAAUCCUUUCAAUUGCAUUGGCCUCUGUAGUGAUAUUGCUUCUUUCAUCUCUAAUUUUAUGAAUUUCUCUUUCCUAUGAUUUGUUUGUCUAAGGGUUUAUUCAUUUCAUUAAUGUUUUUCAAAGAACCAACUAGUUUCUUCAUCAAUCCUUUGUACUCUUUUUAUUCUCUAUUUCAUCUCUUAUCUUUAUUCUUUCCUUAUACUCAGUUGGAGAAUAAUUUGAUUUUUGUCUUUAUAAGACUAACAGAUGUAUUACUAGGUUAUUUUGUUUGUGUCUUUCUGGUAUUUUAUGUAGGAACUCAUAACUGCAUUUUCUUUUUUUAGAACUUCCUUCAUGGUAUCCCAGAAAUUCUGUAUAUAGUAUUUCUAUUGUUUGAAUCUAUGAUUUUAAAAAUUUCUCUCCUUAUUUAUUUUAUGACAUACACUCAAAAGUAUUCAAUCGCCAUGUGAUUGUAUAGUAUCUUUAAUUUUUCUUGCUACUGAUUUCAGGCAAUAAUGACCUGACAAGAUACAAAGCAUUGGUUGCACAUUUUUCUCUGUUAGGACUUCCUUUGUGGCCUUCAAUAUGACCUAUUUUGGAGAGAGUUCCAUGAGCAUGUUAAAAUAAAGUGUGGUCACCUACUGUAAAUUGAAAUAUUUUAUAAGUACUUGUUAAGUCAAUUUUGUAUAUAGUAUGCUUUAGCUGCAGGCCAUAUUUUUUUCCUCAAAAAUUAGGUCUGAUUUUGUAAUUGAAAGGUAAAUUUGGUCAUGUUUAAUCAGUUUCAUAUGAUCGUAGUGAACUUGGAAUAAAAGCUGUGGCAAACCUAUGAGAGUUGGACUUUGAAAAAGUGGAGUUGGUAAUAAAAUUAUAGACAGAAAGAUGGCUAUCUAAAUUGGAUUUUGUCAUGAACAUAUCUGCAUAUUUGUAAGGACAAUCUAAAAAUAAGUUGUCAAAUAUUUUCUUUGUUCUCUACUUAUUUGUCAGGGUUGUGUUUUCCUAUUAUUGUUUGUCAGUGUGGCUUAUUUCUCAUAGAGGUGACUUGUACAAUUGCUUCUGUAUGAAUAUGGAAAUGUCAGAUGACAGCAUUUUUUGUUUGUUUAUCCCAGCACAAGGUUUUGUGUAGGUGUGUGGUUGAUACAAAUGAAGGCCUAUGUUCUAGUGUAGAUUAGAGUAUUAUCAACCCUAAGCUGGAGCCAAUGCAAGAAUGAGGAGACUGUAAAGUCCAGAGGACUGAAUAUUUGGUGAGAUUGAUGACAUUGAUCAUUAGAGAAACAAGGUUUGAUUUUGGAUUAGAUAUGCAAGUGAUUAUACAAGACAUAAAUGCAAAAUAGUACAAAGUUUUGGCUGAACAAUGGAAUUCUUAACAUGUGUUAAGAGUAUUCCUUAAGAUAUGAGAAGAUUAUUUUAAUAAUAAUAAAUGGCUUAAAACAAUAACUACGAGAAAGAGUGACGAUGUUCUUCCAAAAAUAAAGAUUAGAAACAUACAUUUGUGUCGGGUUUAUGACUCUGUGGUAUAGAAAUUUCCUUGCUUGUGAGGUAACCUUAGUGUAAUUCCUACCACUUCCAAAAUAACAACAACAAAUUAAAAAAAGAAUUUUUUUAAUUACAACAUUUAGUUAUACAUAUUAAUUGUGUUUAUUUUGCCAAAAUUAUACAUGGUUCAAUUUGAUUUUUCCCUUUUAAUCCUCAUUACCUUCUUUUCUCUUCCAUCUUUCCUCCUAAUAUUCUGCUUAGUCUAAUCUACUAAUCUUUCUUUCUCUCAUUUAUUUCUUUUCAUUGGUACUUUAUAUAUACAAAAAUAUGUAAUUGACAGUGUUAUAUUCAUAUAUGCAAAUAACAUUUUGUUCAAUUCUGUCCACAUUUUUCUCCAUUCCUGUCCCUUCUUUUCUCAAUCUCUAAUCUCCCCUGUAUAUUUAUGAUAUCCAAUCACAUUUUCCUAGUUUUGCUCUAGCUGACACAUAUGAGAUAAAACAUUUUACCCUUGAUUUUUUUAAUCUGUUUUACUUAGCAUAAUAUUCUCCAUUUCCAUCCAUUUACUGGCAAAUGCCAAUAUUUAAAAUUUCUUUAUGAUUGUGUAAAACUGUGUGUGUGAGUGAGUGAGUGAGAGAGAGAGAGAGAGAGAUGGAUGAAGAGAGAGAGAGAGAGAGAUUUCUUGAUGCAUUCAUCUAUUAAUGGGCAUCUGAACUGCUUCAACAAUUUGGCCAUUGUGAAUUGUGCUACUAUGUAUAUAAAUGUGAAUAUAUGAAAAUAUAGUUUAAGUUACAUUUAGUUAUGUAUAUAGGGAAAAUUGACAGACAUCCAAUAUUCAUGACUAUUCAGACAUGUUUUUCUCAUACAAAUAUAAAUGAGUCAUAAGAAGAAAAUAACAACACUUCACUAAUGAUCAUAUGUGUGUGUGUGUAUAUAUAUAUAUAUAUAUAUAUAUAUAUGUACAUAUAGCCAUGGCAUAGUAAUGUAAAUGUUUUUUUAUUAUGAAAAAUAAUUUUUAUUCAGAAACUAUCACUUGCAUUUUUGUGUGUCUCUUCACAAUUUCUUAUUAAUUAUACAUGACUGUAGAAUUCAUUUUAGAAUUGACACAUUGUACAAAAAUGGAGCACAAGUUUUCAUUCCUCUGGCUAUACAUGGUGCAGAGUCACAAAAGUAGGGUAAUCAUACAUGUGUAUAGGGUAAUAAUGUUUGUCUAAUUCCAUCAUCCUUCCCAUACCCACACCAUUUUUCCUCCCCUAACUCCCCUCUGCACAAUCCAAAAUUUAUUCAUCAUUCCCCCCUCCCUUGUUGGAUCAUCAUUGGCUUAUCAGAGAAAACAUUUGGCUUUUGUUUUUUGGCUUAUUUCACUUAAUAUGAUUUCUCCAACUUCAUUCAUUUAUCUGUAAAUGGCAUAAUUUCAUUCUUCUUUAAGGCUGAGUAAUAUUCCAGUGUGUAUGUGCACUGAUUUUUUUUUUUAACCAUUCAUCUAUUUAGGGGCAUCUAGGUUGUUUCCAUAGUUUAGCUAUUGUGAAUUGAGUUUCUCUAAACAUUGAUGUGGCUGUUUCACUGUAGUAUGGUGAUUUAAAGUCCUUUGGGUGCAAGCCAAGGAGUGGGAUAGCUAGGUCAAAUGGUGGUUCCAUUCCAAGUUUUUUUGAGAAAUCUCCAUACUGCUUUCCAUAGUGGUUGACCAAUUUGCAGUCCCACCUGCAAUGUGUGAGUAUGCCCUUUUCUCCCCAUUCUCACCAACAUUUAUUAUUGCUUGUAUUCUUCAUAAUUGCCAUUCUGACUGGAGUAAGAGGAGAUCUUAGAAUAGUUUUUAUUUGCAUUUCUCUAAUUGCUACAGAUGUUGAGCCUUUUUUUUCUAUGUUUGUUGAUUGAUAGUAUUUCUUCUUCCAUGAAAUGUCUAUUUCACUCCUUAGCCCAUUUAUUGAUUGGAUUAUUUUUAUUAUUAUUUUUUGGUGUUAUGUUUUUUGAGUUCUUUAUAUAUCCUGGAGAUUAAUGCCUGUGGUAAAGAUUUUCUCCCGUUCUGUAUUCUCUCUUCACAUUAUUUAUUGCUUCUUUUGCUGAAAAGCAGUUUUUAGUUUGAAUGUAUUCCAUUUAUUGAUUCUUGGUUUUACUUUUUGUACUUUAGGGGUCUGGUUAAGGAAGUCAAUUCCUAAGCUGACCUGGUGAAGAUUUGAGCCUCGUUUUUCUUCUAUUAGGUGGAUGCAUGGUCUCUGUUCUAGUGCCUAGGUCUUUGAUACACUUUGAGUUGAUCUUUGUGCAGAGUGGGACAUAGAGGUAGAAUUUCAUUUUGCUUCAUAUGGAUUUCCAGUUUUCCUAUCACCAUUUGUUGAAUAGCUACUUUUGUCUAGUAUGAGAUAAGGUGUUUAUGUGCGUUUCUCUCUGUGUUUUCUAUUCUGUACUGUUGGUCUACAUGUCUUAUUUUGGUGCCAAUACCAUGUCAUUUUUGUUACUACUGCCAUGUAAUAUAGUUAAGGUCUGGUAUUGUGAUGCCUUCUUUUUCACUCUUUUUGCUAAGUAUUGUUGUAACUACUCUGGGCCUGUUAAUUUUCAAAAUGAAUUUCAUGAUUGCUUUUUCUUGUUCUAUGAAGAAUGUCACUGGAAUUUUAAUAGGAAACAAUUUUGGUAGUAUUGUUUGCCCUUUUUUAUUGGCAGUGGAUUUGACUGUUCUCUGCCUCCUGUACAAACUUAUGUCUUCUACUUUCUGGUAAAAUAUGCAUAAAAUUAAAUUUACUUUUAUAACUCUUUUUAAGGGUAAAAUUCAGUACCAUUUAGUGUAUUCGCAGUGUUGGAAAACAUCAGAACUAUCUAGUUCCUGAUAUAUACAACAACCAGUGCCUUCCAACACCCAUUUCCAUUUUCUUCUUCCCUCAUGGCCUGGAAUGACUAAGAUACAUUUUUUUUUUCCAAUGCAUUUGCUUUGUCAUAAAAUUUAAAAUAAUUUGACCUAUGCAGUAUGUGGCAAGUUCCUCUAAUUUAUUUCCCUUAACAUAAUGCUUUCAAGGCUAUUUUUGCUAUAUAUUUUAGCAUAUUCUAAUUAAAGUAUUGAUGAGUAAAAUUCUUUGUGGACAUACCAAAUUUUAGUUAUCAGUUGUGGUUUUUAUUGUGUCAUUUGAAGUAUUUUGGAUAAAUCCAGGUGCACUCUACUACUGUACUGACCAACAUUUCCAGACCUUUUUUUUUUUUUUUUUUCCCCAUUUUGAGGCAGGGAUUCCAUAAACUUGCUCAAACUUGUGAUUUCCACUUUCUACCCUCUAGAGUUCCUGGGAUUCUAGGUUGCACCACUAUAAGUGACAGUUAUCAGUGAAUCUGCUAUUAGAUAUUUGGGUUGUUUGCAUCUUUGGUUAUUAUUAUCAAUUUUGUGUGUGUGUGUGUGCAUGUGCGUGUGUGCAUGUGCGUGUGCACAGUGCUAGGGGAUUGAAUACAGGUCCUUGUGCAUGUGAAGUAAGUACUCUACCACCUGAACUAUGGCCCCAGCCCAGUACUUUUGGUUAUUUUGAAUAAUUCAACUAUAAAUAUUCAUGUACAAAUUAUUUUCUAACUAUGUUUUGAGUUAUUUUUGUACAUGUCUGGUGUGAAUUUUGAUUUAUUUUGCAAUUCAUUAUUUAUUAUAAUUAUUUAUAUAUUUAUUGCUUAUAAUACAUGAAGGUGCUUUCCACACUACUUGUACCAUUUUGCAUCCUCUCAAAGGUGUAUGGAAUUUUCAGUUUUCCAUAGCUUUGAUUUCGUUUUGUUUUGUUUUGCUUAUUCACAGUUUUAGGUUUUGGUAAAUUUUAAUAUUUUUUGUUUACAGCACAAAACAACAACAUUUAGGCAGAUAAAAGAUCAAACAAUCUGUUACAUAUGGCUCUGAAGAGAAAAAUGUAUUGAUACAAAGGAACAUAGAGAGCAUAUGCAGUCCAUGGUUAUCACAGUCUAGAUCCCUAAGACACAGUUUGUACAUUUCAGUUUAUAUCAAAUCAACAAAAGUUUAUGGAACCACAUUGAUUUAAUAGGUGAAAAAAUUUGGGUGACUCUGGAAUGUGCAAGUUGUCCCUAACAGUGUGGUCUCUGUCAUUUGUGUUUAUAUGGAGGAUGCAUAUGGGCACUACAGUGUGAAAACCUGAAACAGAAGUGUUGUGUGCAUGGCUCUAAUCAUAUUUUCAAAAGGGGAAAUAACUGGCCUUCAGCUCAGGUUAAAUAUUUGUUGACAUAACUUUUCAAAAACAAGAAAACUGUGUUAAUAUUGUCUUUUUUACUUCCAUGACAAUAUAGUAUUAUGCACAGGACUUUUAUUUUAGUAGAGAUUAAACAUUUUUGUUGAAUUUAUUUUUGCAGCCAAAGGCUCCAUUGCCAAAUCUAAAUUCAUGAAUAUUUAAUUUUGCUUUUGUGUAAAUUUUUAUAGUUUUGGCAUUAAAAUUAGUUCUGUGGUUUACUUUGAGAUAAUCAUUGUACAACAAUCUCAUUUUUUGCCUGUAAAUAAGCAUUCAUCUUAACCUUAUUUGUAGAAGAGACUAUUCUUUAUUAAAUUAUCUUGACAACCCUGUCAAAAAUAAAUUGUCGUCAGGUAUGUGGUUAAUUUCUUUUUUAUUUCAUUUUUAUUUUUAAAGAGAGAGAAUUUUUUUAAUAUUUCUUUUUCCUUUCCUUUUUUUUUUUUUUUUUUAGUUUCGGCAGACACAACAUCUUUGUUUGUAUGUGGUGCUGAGGAUCGAACCGAGCCGCAUGCAUGCCAGGCGAGCGCGCUACAGCUUGAGCCACAUCCCCAGCCAUAUGUGGUUAAUUUCUAGACUUCAAAAUUGUUGAGAGCCACAGCCUUGAGAGCCACAGCCGAGUUGGGAUGGCGCCUAGCAUUUUGCCAGAAGGAGUGAUUGAGAGGUGUCCCUAGGGAGCCAUUAAGAUGAUGAUAAUUAAGUUAAGCUGUGUAUAAUUGCUGUGACUGGAUGAUGCUGGAUUGAAACAGGCUGUGUAUUCAGUUGUCUAUAGACCCCUGCUGUCCUGCAAUAGGGUGGCUCCUGCUGUCUCAGGCGCCCGCUACUUUUGAGUUCUCUCUACUUUUGAGUUCUUGCACCUCAGGCGCCCGCUUCUUUUGAGUUCUUCCUACUUUUGAGUUCUCACUGAGUUCCAGUUGAGUUCCCGUGGAGUUCGCGUGGAGCCUGGUGGAGAGGGAGAGAGUUCCUGGGAAGUGCUUGUGGAGUGCGGGUGAGAGUUCGGGCAUAAAGGAGUUCCUGUUUGAACCUACAAGUGGCUCAUGACCUCCCAAUUUGGUGCCCAGCCUGACUGCGGCAUUUGGUGGCCCGUGCGGGGGAUGCCUGAAGCUUGGUGUUAAGUGAAAUUGCUCACCCCUGAGGGAGGGCGAGAGAAUGGGUGUCCAUUUCAAAAAACAAUGUGUUCUUGUUUUGAUUUGUUUUGUUUUUGUUUCAAGCUGCCUGUCCCUAGAACUUUCUCAGGCAAACUGGGGAAAAUGGUUGGCUCAGAGUUUGAAGUUGUCCGGCCCUGAGGAAGAGAUAGAGAAAAACCAUGGAUACACAUAUCAAGAAAAUAGAAAAACUGAUACAAAGAAUUUUUGUUCCAUUUUUGUUUCAUUCUGUUUCGGUUUUGUUUUGUAUUAUCUUGUUGGGUUGGGUUAUCCAUGUAGCAGAAAUAUGGGGUCAGAAAUUAGCAAAAAACAAACGGAAAGAAUGUUAAGUAAAUUGUUAGAGGAAGGAGGCACCCCAGUAAAAGCAAGAACAGUCAGGGCAUACGUUGAUACAAUACAAAAAUGUAGCCCAUGGCUUUUUAAGGAGGAGUUGUUGAAUAUAUCACAAUGGGACCAUCAUGGUGAAGACUUAAGAAAGAGGGAAAAGAAAAACCCAGGAACUCUGCCAGUUGGCACAUUGCCAUUGUGGAUGAUGAUACGAUUUUGUUUGCCUAGUCCAAAGCUUUCAGUUCAGAUUAUGGUAGAAGACAUAUUAGAUCAGGAAAAAGAGGAGACCUCUCGAGAUAGUCAGAAAGGGGCAGAAAGUUUAGAGCAGAAAAAGCCAUCAGGGGGAAAGUUACAACAGGAGGCUGCUACUAACACCUUUGUAUCACCAGAGGGCGUAAGUGUCCAACCAACAGCUCCACCUAUGGAGACAACAUAUGCUGGGGGGCCCCAAACCCCCGUAGUUGAUAGAUGGGAUCCUGAGACAGGACCUCAAAGAUUAAGAUGCCCUGUAUUUGAGACAACAGAAGGGCAGCGAAUUCACCGUGCUCUAGAUUUCAAAACAGUGAAGCAGCUGAAAGAGGCUGUAACAACCUAUGGUCCUCAAACACCCUUCACUGUAAGUAUGGUCGAAUCCAUUACCUACUUUGACAUGACGCCAGCAGAUUGGGCUAGUAUGUGCAAAGCUGUGCUAAAUGGAGGACAAUAUCUGUUAUGGAAGGUUGCCAAUCAGGAAUUUUGCAUGGAGACGGCUAAGCGAAAUGCAGCAGCUGGUUAUCCUCAGAGAAAUUUAGAUAUGUUGUUAGGAAAGGGACCUUAUGAGAGUCAGUUGCAACAAAUUAGAUAUGAUCCUGCCAUAUACUCACAAAUCGCUUUAGCUGCAGUUAGGGCAUGGAAAACUUUACAGGGGCAUGGAGAUUUACAAUUAUCUAAGGUAAUACAAGGAACUAAUGAACCUUAUGCUGAAUUUGUAGAUAGGCUUAUACAAACAGCUACCAGAAUCUUUGGGGAUGUAGAACAAGCGAUGCCAUUAAUAAAACAACUAGCUUACGAGCAAGCAAACAAAUGUUGCAGGGAGGUCAUUAGACCAUGGAAACAUGGAGAUUUAAACACAUAUAUUAAAUUAUGUAGAGACAUUAAUGAACGGGAGCAAGUCUUGGCAACUGCAAUACAACAGGCUUUAGGUGCCAGGCCAAAAACAUGCUACAGUUGUGGACAAACAGGACAUUUUAGAAGGAGUUGCUUCAUAGGAGGAGGGUUUAACAAAACUAGAUAUGAUCAAAGGGGUAAAAUACCAGGUAUUUGCCCAUGAUGCCAUAGAGGGAGACAUUGGGCUAAUGAAUGCCGUUCUCAAACCACCAUAGAGGGUAUUUCUUUAUCAAAAAACUGACAAGGACCAGGUGUUGACCCACGAUACCAUGGAGAAAAGCAUCGUGCUCCAUUGCCAAAAAACGGACAGGAGGGCCCAAUGCUCCGGGGCCCACUACCACAAAUAUACGGGGCACUGGAGGAACCCAGCAACACCAUCAGGGCAGUGCCCAGGACACAUUAUCCAUUAGAGUGCUCAUGAAAAAAUGGAUCCAAAUAUUUUUAUUAUUCAUGUGAUUUAAAUGGUUUAAUUUAAAUUGGGUAAACAGCUGUUGAGGAUUGUUUUAAUAUGUGAACAAAAAAGGAGAUUAACAGAUCUGUUUGUUUACUUUCACCUUUCCUUUUCAUUAUAUCUAAUUCUAUUCAGAAUACUAAAUUGUUUAGAAAAUUGUUUUUUUUUAGUGCCUGCUGGAAUGUUACAUAAUUUUUUUUAGCCAUCAUUGCCAGAAUUCCUGUCUUCAUCCCAGUGCUGGUGAAGACAAAGAUAAAACCGAAAUACAGCUUCUGCGAUAGCUAUCACAACAAACUGUAUAAACUGAUGCAUCAAUGAAUAAUAACUCAACAAGUGAUGCUCAAUCAAGGAGUCGAUUUACUUUGGGAGGAAAUGGACAUAUAGAUGGAUUCCUCUGCUUUGAACUGCUUGCAGAACUUGCCUGGACUAUGUAUCACUUGUAUGCAUUGUGAACUAUCUGUUGGUGCAACGAAUUGUGGUAGUGCUGCGGUAUCUUUGCUGAUGGUGUCAUCGGUGGUACAAUUUUUCCAAAAGGAACUCUCAUUUGGCUUGAGAUCGUGGCAUUUUGCAUCCUCCUCCCUUUUGCUUGUGAUGGUCUAAAAUUUGGGGGCCAACAGAGGUGAGGCAAAGAACCUCACCCCCCCCUCCACUGGCACCAAGGCCAAAUUUGGGGGCCAACAGAGGUGAGGCAAAGAACCUCACCCCCCCCACUGGCACCAAGGCCAAAUUUGGGGGGCCAACAGAGGUGAGGCAAAGAACCUCACCCCCUCACUGGUGCAAAGCUCAAACUUGGGGGCCAAUAGAGGUGAGGCAAAGAACCUCACCCCCUCACUGGUCCAAAGGCCUAUCCACAAGUAUGGCUGUAUGCUGGACCAGUAGUCAAUGACUGGUAAGAUCCAAUUGCAGUGGUACCAACCUAAGACAGGAGGCUGAUGCCUUGAGGUCAGCUCAUCCUCUGACAAGUAAGGACCAUAUGUAGUAUGGGACAACCUAAGACAGGCAUGUUCCCUAAGCCACAUUGCUUGUUGUUUAAUUAAACAGAAUAGAGGAGAUGUUGAGGGCCACAGCCAAGUCACUAUGACUCAUGGCAUUUUGCUAGAAGGGAGUGGUUGAGAGGUGACAGGAGUGAGCCAUUGAGAUGAUGAUGGUUAUGUUAAGCUGUGUAUUCAAUUGUAUAUAUGACCUUUACUGUCCAGCAAUAGGGCAGCUCUUGCUGCCUCAGGUGCCCCCUACUUUGGAGUUCCCUUUGAGUUCUCCCAGUGGUUCCCAGAGUGAGUGCGUGCACAGCCCAGGGGAGUGGGGGAGAGUUCCCAGGGCGUGUGCCUGGAGUGCUGGUGGAGUUCAGGCAAUAAAGUUUCCUGUUUGAACAUACAAGUGCUUUGUGGCGAC